GUAACGGCAGUAGCUUGCUACUAGACGACGACCGGCGCACGGGUGAGUAACGCGUAUGUAAUCUGCCUUGUACAGAGGGAUAGCCCAGAGAAAUUUGGAUUAAUACCUCAUAGUAUUACUGAAUCGCAUGAUUUGGUAAUUAAAGCUCCGGCGGUACAAGAUGAACAUGCGUGACAUUAGCUAGUUGGUAAGGUAACGGCUUACCAAGGCCACGAUGUCUAGGGGUUCUGAGAGGAUGAUCCCCCACACUGGUACUGAGACACGGACCAGACUCCUACGGGAGGCAGCAGUGAGGAAUAUUGGUCAAUGGACGCAAGUCUGAACCAGCCAUCCCGCGUGAAGGAUGACUGCCCUAUGGGUUGUAAACUUCUUUUAUAUGCAAAUAAACCUGCUUUCGUGAAAGUAGCUGAAGGUAGCAUAUGAAUAAACACCGGCUAACUCCGUGCCAGCAGCCGCGGUA
rnacentral:rRNA from 1 species